CAGGUCUGUCUUUAAAAAAUGAAAGGCAUUAGCCUAACACCAAGCCCUGGAGGAAUGCCCGUUGGACAGUUUGAAAUUUACAACUCAGCAGUAUUUACAACAAGAAGCAGCCUUACAGGACAGAGCUUCACAGUGAAUAACCUCAAGCGUGGACUUCAAGAGGGCCAUGAAGGAAGAUCGCCACUCACAAUGAAGUACCAACGGACUUUACUAUUGUUAAUCCAUAAUUAAUUCCACUGGUAAUUAAAAACUUAAUAUGUCAAUAUUGUUUCUGUUAUCGUGACCUUGCAUGUGGAAAAAAACUGCAGCGUGUUGGAAACAGAUUGUGUGUUAGUAUGUCUGUUUUCAAACGUUUAUUUCUCGCUUUAAGUAAAACUGGGAAAAGAUACCAUACAUAAAUAUAUAACACAUAAUAAAAUUAUUCUUAUCCAACCA